rnacentral:misc_RNA from 1 species
GAAAUGCGAUAAGUAAUGUGAAUUGCAGAAUUCAGUGAAUCAUCGAAUCUUUGAACGCACCUUGCGCUCCUUGGUAUUCCUUGGAGCAUGCCUGUUUGAGUAUCAUGAAAUCUUCAAAGUAAAUCUUUUGUUAACUCAAUUGGUUUCUACUUUGGUAUUGGAGGUCUUUGCAGCUCCACACCUGCUCCUCUUUGUUCAUUAGCUGGAUCUCAGUGUUAUGCUUGGUUCCACUCGGCGUGAUAAGUUAUCUAUCGCUGAGGACACUGUAAAAGGUGGCCAAGGUAAAUGCAGAUGAACCGCUUCUAAUAGUCCAUUGACUUGGACAAUACUUUUAUGAUCUGAUCUCAAAUCAGGUAGGACUACCCUCUGAACUUAAGC